rnacentral:rRNA from 1 species
GACCUCGGAUCAGGUAGGGAUAGCCUGC